UUUUUUUUUUUUUUUUUUUUGGUAAAGUUGCUGCGUUGCUGCUGGUCUCCACUCAUCUUGAAUAUCCCGGGCUUCUGUAGGUGAGGUCUUCACUGUAACCUCCUUAACACUAAAUCACCAGAAAUCAUCAAAUCAAGCUAAGCUGGCACCUUCUGCACUUAACAGUAAAUCAAUCAGUAGUAAAUUUAACGUUUUAAGGGAGAAGAAUAUGGUGUCUUAGUUAGGGUUUUACUGCUGUGAACGGACACCAUGACCAAGGUGACAUUUAUAAGGCCAACAUUUAAUUGGGGCUGGCUUGCAGGUUUAGAGAAUCAGUCUAUUAUCAUCAAGGUGGGCACAUGGCAUCGUCCAGGCAGGCGUGGCGCAGAAAGAGCUAAGAGUUCUACAUCUUCAUCUUAAGGCUGCUAGAAAAAUACUGGCUUCCAGACAGCUAGGAUGAGGGUCUUAAAGCCCAUAUACCCACCAUGACACACUUACUCCAACAGGGCCACACCUUCUAAUAGUGCCACUCCCUGGGCUAAGCAUAUACAAACCAUCACAAUGGGGGAAGAAAAUCAGCACCAGAGGUCACUAUGGAAGCUGCAAUGUGGAUCAAAUGUUGACAUUACACUAGGUACUUUCCUGGUCCACAUGGAGACUGGACUGGGGUUUAGAGGUCAUUAUAUCACAUCCAGCAGAGGCCUUUGUCAGGCCUGGCUUGCCCAGUUGUCACCAGCAGCCCUAGGCUGUGGCCCCUCAGUACCAUCCCAGCCUCCACCUAGGCAAGCUCGCGGACAACUGCAACACGCUCCAAGAUCACCACAGUCUUAGGAUUCCAUAGGCUGGGAUAUAGGUCAGCGGGAGAACCCUGCCAAGCAUGGACGGCUGAGCUGGAAUUGUGGGAUCCCAAAAUGUUUGCCAACGGACAAACUCAAACUGAGUCCUGUGCUGGUUACUUAACUGUCAAUGUGACAGACUCUAGACUCACCCAGGACAUAGACUGGAUGGAUAUAAAACUCUCAGCACCAUGUCUGCUUGCGCGAGACCCCAUGACAAUAACGUGCUAAACUUCUGAAACUGUAAGCAAGUCCCAGGUCCAUAACCAUGGCUUUUGAACACAGCAAGAGAGUGAAUACAGACUGCUAAAGGCACAGCGGAAGGACGUGUGGCCCUGACAUAAGAUGUGCUAUGAUCUCAAAGUGUUCGGAGGUAGCUGGUCCAACUUCUCAUCUUACCGUGUGCAACACUUACUCUUUAAGGCUGGAGAGGAGUCACUGCUGAAAAGUCACUGCGUUUUCAUUAGAAAAAAAGAUAAAGGACCAAGUAGCUUUGUCCCCAUUAUUUCCCAGGUCCUGUUGUCAGAGUAAACACAGGUGCAGAGCCCAGAGCUUCUGAGACCACACUUCUGGAAGCAAGGUGGAGCCGGUGAGUGACAGUCAGCUCACAUCCAUUUCUCGGCCUUUUGAGGGUGAUGUGGCAAAGAGUUUUCCUUUUCACUAUUACUUUUUAGUAUAUAUUUUUAAGAGGCUGGCCUUUGGUCUCUGCUACAUGGGCCUCUCAGCUCCUUUCUUCCGAAUCAGUCACAUGAAAGUGCCCAAUGCAUGCAUUGACAUUUAGCAGCUCGCUCCACCAUGCUGACCUUUCCAUACGAGGAAGGGAAGUAAGGACCAUGAGCAUCACUCUCGGGUCAGCCACAGCCGCUCCAGGCCUAAGGAAGAGGCACUCGGGAAACAAUACCCACAAGGGACUGCCUGCUACAGAGAUGAUACACUUCAAGUGUGUUCCUGCACAGAGGCCCUUCCUGCUUAACCAGGCCCUGCAGAAGCACACACCAGCCAGCCUGAUGACAGCACGCCAAGGCUGGUUUCUGAAUGCUCCAUCCAGCCACAGACUCAUGGCUGGCAGAGAAGUAGGAAAGCUUUACCCUAACAUAGGAACCUGCCUCAGAGGUGCUCAGACUGGAGGCUGGAGGCAGGUGGUACAGGGAAUGCAGCUACUCUGAUGGGCCAGGUUGUCUUUAGCUAGUGCGUGGGGAAGAAAAAAAGAAAAAAGAAAGCUACCAACUAUUAAUCAAGAACUGGCCAUCUAGGGCCAAUUAUUCAGAAGUUAUUGUUUGGCUACUAUUAUUAGACACUUAACUGAAUUGUUACUGAUUUCAUUUAUGCCUAUUAUACAACAGCUAAUGGAGUAUUACAUCAUAGGUAAGGACCCUGUGGCUGUGAGACAGGUCACUAUGUAGUCCAGGCUGCUCUUGAACUCACUGAAAUCUGCAAACUUCUAUUUUUACACGUGGGUAGCACCAUGAUCUGUUGCUCUACUUAGCCAUUCCGCCCUCAAUGAAACCAGAGCGAGUGCAUCUGCAACCCUGCUGGGUCUAAUGGUAAAGCCGGAAGCUCCCUUCCACACCCACCAAGCCUUCUCUGUUCAGGUAUCUGUCGCAGUUUAUCACAUCAUAAUCAGCAUCAGCAUUGAGGCUUAGAAAACUCUGACAGGCAAGAGCCCCUCCAGGCAAAAUCAUCACUUACGUUGUUUCAUUUCAUACUUAUAAACUAAUUCUUGGCAAAUAUUGGAUCAAAAUUUACUGUCAGCUAAAAUAAAAAAGAA